UCCUUGGUAACAACUGGCCAACUGGGGGAU
rnacentral:piRNA from 1 species